AGAGUUUGAUCCUGGCUCAGGACGAACGCUGGCGGCGUGCUUAACACAUGCAAGUCGAACGAAGAGCGACGGAAGCUUGCUUCUAUCAAUCUUAGUGGCGAACGGGUGAGUAACGCGUAAUCAACCUGCCCUUCAGAGGGGGACAACAGUUGGAAACGACUGCUAAUACCGCAUACGAUCUAAUCUCGGCAUCGAGGAUGGAUGAAAGGUGGCCUCUACAUGUAAGCUAUCACUGAAGGAGGGGAUUGCGUCUGAUUAGCUUGUUGGCGGGGUAACGGCCCACCAAGGCAACGAUCAGUAGGGGUUCUGAGAGGAAGGUCCCCCACAUUGGAACUGAGACACGGUCCAAACUCCUACGGGAGGCAGCA
rnacentral:rRNA from 1 species